rnacentral:tRNA from 2 species
UGGGGCGUAGCCAAGCGGCAAGGCAGCGGAUUUUGAUUCCGCCAUGCGGAGGUUCGAAUCCUCCCGCCCCAACCA